rnacentral:rRNA from 1 species
AUACGGAGGAUCCGAGCGUUAUCCGGAUUUAUUGGGUUUAAAGGGUGCACAGGCGGCCAUUUAAGUCAGCGGUUAAAUCGUGGGGCUCACCCCCAUUCUGCCGUUGAUACUGGGUGGCUCGCUGCCGGUCGAGGUUGUCGGACUCGGUUGUGUAGCGGGAAAAUGCAUAGAUAUGACGAAGAACACCGAUUGCGUAGGCAGCUGACCAGACCGCAAAUGACGCUCAUGCACGAAAGUGCGGGGAUCGAACAGGAUUAGAUACCCUGGUAGUCCGCACAGUAAACGAUGAAUACUUGUUUUCGGCGAUAUAAUGUCGGAGGCAAAGCGAAAGCGAUAAGUAUUCCACCUGGGGAGUACGCCGGCAACGGUGAAACUCAAAUGAAUUGGCGGGG